GUGUGGCUUCUUGAGUGGGUGAGGAGGGGUUUUUGUAACUCCAAAUCACACAAAACUCUUCAAGAUGUUGGCGUUUUCAUUAGACGGAGCGAAAAGUUGUGGGACGAGAUUCAAAUCGUGAGCUUAAGGACUACAUUGAUACUUCGAGGUGAGAGAGAAGCAUCGUGACAUACUAGUUUUAGAAUAUGAUAUUAGGGUCCCCAAAUGUACUCAAAGUUUGGAGGGCCUGAUAGUUAGGAAUUCAUGUGGGCUAGUCAAUGGUAUGUUUUUUGGAAUAACCAUUAUGUAAAUUCCUAGCCCGACCAUAUUUAUAUGAUGUGUCUAUUUUACCUAUGUACAACUCAUUGCAUGUUGUAUCUGAAAUGGAUGUGAUGAUGAUAUAUCUAAU